AUUUACACACCUGUGAAUUUCAACUUUUGCUUGCCUGGAGCAAUCCAGGCGACUUGAAAAACAACCAAAUUAAUUUUGUCUGAAAAAACUAAAAUUAAAAACUAUUAACAACGGAUCUCUUGGUUCUCGCAUCGAUGAAGACCGCAGCAAAGCGCGAUAGUUAAUGUGAAUUGCAGACGUGAAUCAUUGAGUUGUUGAACGCACAUUGCGCUUUUCCUUACGGAAAAGCAUACCUGUGCGAGCGUCAUUUCUCUCUCUAUCACUAGUUGAUAGGUAUUGGCACUCUUCUUAGUGCUUAAAACGAUUAUGUGUAUAUGUUAACCACAAUGUGCACUACAAACAUACAUUUUGACCUCGUAUCAGGUAAGAGUACCCGCUGAACUUAAGCAUAUCAAUAAGCGGAGG
rnacentral:misc_RNA from 1 species